CGCGUAGGCGGCCUGGUAAGUCUGGAGUGAAAGUCCCGCUUUCAAGGUGGGAAUUGCUUUGGAUACUGCUAGGCUCGAGUGCAGGAGAGGAAAGCGGAAUUACCGGUGUAGCGGUGAAAUGCGUAGAGAUCGGUAGGAACACCAGUGGCGAAGGCGGCUUUCUGGACUGAAACUGACGCUGAGGCGCGAAAGCGUGGGGAGCAAACA
rnacentral:rRNA from 1 species